rnacentral:rRNA from 1 species
GUGGGGAAUUUUGGACAAUGGGCGCAAGCCUGGUCCAGCCAUGCCGCGUGCAGGAUGAAGGCCUUCGGGUUGUAAACUGCUUUUGUACGGAACGAAAAGACUCUGGUUAAUACCUGGGGUCCAUGACGGUACCGUAAGAAUAAGCACCGGCUAACUACGUGCCAGCAGCCGCGGUAAUACGUAGGGUGCGAGCGUUAAUCGGAAUUACUGGGCGUAAAGCGUGCGCAGGCGGUUAUGUAAGACAGAUGUGAAAUCCCCGGGCUCAACCUGGGAACUGCAUUUGUGACUGCAUAGCUAGAGUACGGCAGAGGGGGAUGGAAUUCCGCGUGUAGCAGUGAAAUGCGUAGAUAUGCGGAGGAACACCGAUGGCGAAGGCAAUCCCCUGGGCCUGUACUGACGCUCAUGCACGAAAGCGUGGGGAGCAAACAGGAUUAGAAACCCCUGUAGUCC